AUAUGUUUGUGCACAAUUGCACCAGAUGCAGUGCUGAUUUUUAAUUAAUCUUAGCACGUGGAAUACCGCAGUGCAAUGAAUUCGCAUCCCCCGUUCUGCUUGCCAUGGCUACGCCGAUGCGAAAAACUCAGAACGAGAUUGCCAACAUUAUGAUCAGCACAGCGUUGCGGAGUUUUAGGGUUGUGGCUGAUCUCGCAUGCGUUGUGAGGUCGAGGUGCGGCGGUAGUUGCAUGCACAACUUGGCUGUGAGUGAACAAGGUUGGUUGUCAUCGGUUUCACCGCAUCAUGAUUCAGCGGCACUCUCUUCACUGGUUCCAGAUGUUGCUACAUUUCGCGUUGCAGGGAGGGAGUCCCCGAUGGUCAGAUUGAAGCUCUCUCUCUCGCGCUCUUUCGCUCUCGCUCUUUCGCUCGAUCCCGUUCAUUAACAGCUUGACAAUGCAUUUCGUGAAGGGUUACGUGGUUUCUGCCUCGCCCCCUAACUCAUCCCCUGGUCUGGAAACAUAUUAUUGUGGAAGCAGGAAGAUUGAAAUUCUGAUGAUACUCAUGAAGGCGAGAGCUGCUGUUGAAGCAACGGGAGAUACAAGUGACCAGGUAAUGCACCAAAUUUGAAGCUGAGCUCGGAUUAAUGCACUGUGGAUAAGCAAAUGCUUUGCUAUUCAGAUAUGUAGGGAAACAAUGUUGUUUGCAAAGAACAUAAAUAACCAGAACAAAUGUCGAAGUAAAUUAAUGACGAAUCACAGCUUGGAUUAGAUUCAAAACAGUGAUUCGAAUCCUAACAUAGUCGAACACUUUGUGUUUUUGGUGCUUUUAUAAUGUCCUGAUUGCAUUCAAGGAUUUACUUA